GAAAACGUACAGUUCAACAAAUCACGGUAUACGCCGCCAUUUUGUUGGGCAGGCAAAACAUUGCGAGGCGCGGCUACCAAGCCCCAUACAUUUACUGUAAAAUUUCGACCCGUGACUCAGGUGCAAGCCACAUUUCCUUAAUUUUCUUCCUGUCAGAUGAAUCUCUGGUCUUCAAAUUUUCAGAAAUUUUAGCCCAAGUACGAAAUUCAAGGUGCAAGUAAUGUGAGUGAUGUUGGUGAGACCUGGAGUUAGAAGCUCCCCCACAGCAUGCUUGAUGCACAUUGAGGUUAAACUUCUUGCCAUUCCCUCUGGUGGGGACCUGAAGAAAUAAGCGUUAAAGGUGUUUUUGCACCUUUUUACAACAGAAGAAAUGGCUGCUGGAAUUCUUCAGCCAGCAGGGGAAAAAGCAACGGGGAAGGAAGUGCUGGACCCCCACAGGACAAGUCUUUGAAGAAGAGCCAUAACAGAAAAGUUUGGAGAGGUUCCAUUCUAGAAGAAGUGGGGCCAGAUAUGGCAGUCUUUAAACCAAAAGUGUUUAGAUUC
rnacentral:lncRNA from 1 species